rnacentral:piRNA from 1 species
UACGUGACUGUUCCUGGUAUUGA